GCUGUGUCCUCCCACGGAGCAGCCCAUGGCACCGGGAGCCACGGACGCGAGGACUCAGAGGGAAGCGGCAAGAAGGCAGGAGAAGGGGCGCUUGACCUCGUCGAAGGACUCCCGGUUGUCCAGGCUGAACACCAGGAUGAAGACGUCGCCUGCGGGAGAGAGCCCCGGUGGGCUGAGAGGCAGAGGGAAUGCAGAAGAGCCUGACUGCUGUGCUACCACCUUGAGCAAGUUCUUCAACCUCUCCGGCCUCAGUUUCUCCACUCAGAAAAUGGGGACAAAUCCCUACCUUACAGGUCAGUCGUGAACAUGAAGUAAACAUGAGCUUUAAGAACAGAACCGGGGGGCCGGCAGGUGGUGUAGAGGUUAAGAGCUCUGGACUCCCACACGGCCAACCACGGUUUGAGUCCUGAACCUGGCAGCUUGCUGUCUCA